AUUUAUGACGUCGCCAUGACGACACUUCACUACUGAUAUCGCCAUUGUUAUCAUCAAACUGCUAUCAUCUUGCUACUGUUUUGCUGCCAUUUUCCUCGUAUUUCGCUCAUUUUCGUCUGUGUACACUAUGAGCUCCUACGCCCAAGCUGUUGACCUCGUGAUCAGGUUCCCCUUGAACUUUGACAUCUGGGCCCCUCCUCGCCAAUAAUAUUUCAGCUAUAUCAAAGCAGUCUGUAAAG
rnacentral:lncRNA from 1 species